GAUGAAGAACGUAGCGAAAUGCGAUAAGUAAUGUGAAUUGCAGAAUUCAGUGAAUCAUCGAAUCUUUGAACGCACAUUGCGCCCCUUGGUAUUCCGAGGGGCAUGCCCGUUCGAGCGUCAUUAUACCCCUCAAGCCUAGCUUGGUGUUGGGGCCUGCUGUUACCGGCAGCCCUUAAAAUCAGUGGCAGUGCCAUCUGGCUCUAAGCGUAGUAAUACUUCUCGCUACAGGGUCCCGGUGGAUGCUUGCCAUCAACCCCUAAUUUUCUAUGGUUGACCUCGGAUCGGGUAGGGAUACCCGCUGAACUUAAGCAUAUCAAUAAGCGGAGGA
rnacentral:misc_RNA from 1 species